UACGGAGGGUGCAAGCGUUAUCCGGAUUUACUGGGUUUAAAGGGUGUGUAGGCGGGCUUUUAAGUCAGUGGUGAAAUCUCCGGGCUCAACCUGGAAACUGCCAUUGAUACUAUUAGUCUUGAAUUUUGUUGAGGUAGGCGGAAUAAGUCAUGUAGCGGUGAAAAUGCAUAGAUAUGACUUAGAACACCAAUUGCGAAGGCAGCUUGCUAAACAAAUAUUGACGCUGAGGCACGAAAGCGUGGGGAUCAAACAGG
rnacentral:rRNA from 1 species